GUCAGGGAGGAUGAUGAAAUACUAGAGGAUGAAGAGGAACUAGUGGUCGUCAGAGGUCAGGACCGAAAGGGAAGACAAGACCACGCACACGCUGUCGCUCUCACCUAGGGUGCUCAGUGAUACAGACUCGGAUGAAGAGUAUUCAGAACCCGCAGAGGAAAGCACGAGUUACCCAGCAACGGCUCCAGCUUUGUUAUCUCAGCAUGUCCAGUCAGCAAUACGUCAAUAGAUGAUGCAGUGACCUGUGGUGGAGGAGAUCAAAGCCAUCCAGGAGGUCUGCAGAUGACACCCAGGCAGUCCCAGCAACGAUUUAGUGGCACUCCCCUAUACACAUCCCAAGUGUCCUCGGGCAGCCUUGCGACGCCCAUUCCACUCGGGAGGCUUCAUCAGAGGAAGUGGAGGAGGUGGAUCCGGGGGGACGGUGGCAG